UUGGGGAUCCCAGGACAAGAAAUCCGAAACAAGGUGUGGCUGCCCACGUCCCACCCGGACCAUGCUUUAAAUGCAGCAAACAAGGACAUUGGGCAAAAGAUUGCCCCAACCCUGGCAUUCCCCCAGGGCCAUUUCCCUACUGCAACGUUAAGGGCCAUUGGAAGAGCGACUGUCCUAGCUGCCAGUGAGCAGGUAAAUCAUCCUCUAAUUCCUCACCCUCACAGGAGACUCCAUCAAUGCCAGAUUCAUCACUGACUGAUCUGCUUGGACUUGCUGUGGAAGAUUGAUGGGGUUCGAGGCUCACAGCCCUGACUCCCAUAACCUUGUCAGAGCCCUGAGUCUCACUGGAGGUCUCAGUCUAACAUACGUGCAUCACCAGUCAAGUUGUUCCGGCUAAAACACCUGGUACCAGCGUCUACCUGGGCAUCAAUCAUCAUCCCGUCGACUUCCCUAGACUCCAGUACAGUGCCCUCUGCCAGCAGGAAGUAGUUAAAGAGAGAAAUCUUUGCCCCUUUUCAUAAUAAUAAUCAUAAGACAGGAUAUGAAAGGGUUUUUGCCCAGACAGAACACUGUAGCCGGUAAAGCCUUAGAGGCAGAACCAAGGAGCUCUUAUCUCCCCCACCCCUAGGAAUUUACCAGUGACUCCAUCUUCCCCACCCCUAGGAAUUUACCUAUGGUGCCAAACAAAGACCAAUGGGCUACCCGUGCAUCCCUAAUGCCCCCUUAAGUUUCCACCCCAAACCAAGGCUACUUAUAUACCCCCCAUGCCACGUGUCUGCCAGAGAGAAAGCUGGACUCCAGCGGUUGGGGGUGUUUUGGUUUUCUCUCUCCGCGGUCUCAGAAUAAAGGCCUCUUUUGUUUUAUA